AUAUCACUUUUACUCCCAUACAGAGGAAACAAGGCCAGGUGCUUGAAAAAACAGUCCACUGGUGGAGCCUCCAAGACGUCAGAUGUCUGUAGCAGUUUUUAUGGAGUUCCACCGAGGUCUGAUUCUGGCUUGAAUGACCGCUCACAUCUGUCCAGCUGUGUUUCCGUAUGUCAGAGGGAAGGCACUGCUUCGGAUGAAGGGACUGUUCCUCCUUUGGUUCCAAAGACGGGCGGACCUCCUGACCAAACCGCCUCAGAGUCUUCAGUUUCACGUCUCUGCAGUCGAUCUGGACCAGAAGUGACCAGUGAGCAGCCUCCGGCGCUUUCCCAAGAACUGCUGACCGAAGCUUUUGCAAAGCAGUGGAGCACAGAAACGGAUAUGAAUAGUCCUCUUCUGCCUACUGCCCCUCAGCCCAGCCCUGUAGGUUUCCCUGGAAACGAGGAGUGCCAGAUUGUUUUCCCUCAUCUGCUGAAGAUUGGAGAUCCGAGUCGGCUGGAUCACACUCAGAUGCUGUUAAUCUCUGAUUCUGAGGCUGUCUACAAUCUGAACAGAGUCCAGGAAGGCCUGAGCACUUGAUGGGAAACCCAACAAUGGAGAUGGAAUCUGGAGCCAAAAUUAAUUCUAAAUAACAAACACUUGUUAGAUGUCUUUGUUUUGUUUAAAAAAGUUUAAUGUAUUGAUUUCCUGAUUUAAAAGAACUGAUUCUACUGACUGAACUACUUGAGAAAACUUUAAAAUGUUGAACUGUACUUUCAGUGAACAAAAUAAAUUGCAUAUUAAACUAGAUUUUCUUUAUCUGUGGAUAAACCUUUAGCCUUUCAUAAUCAAAGUAGACUUUCAGAUCUUCAUUUAGAAUGCAAAUGAUCUCAGAUCUAUUUUAAAAGUAGUGGUCUUUUCUAAAAGCUGUUGUUUUCAAGAGCAGUUCAUGUACAGCUGCAAUAGCUGUUUAUAAAAUUGCCUCCAAAUUGUGGGUGGGACUAUUGGGUUGGAGCUCUGUUUUCCCUCCCCAUUACAAAGCGGAGCAGGGAGCUUGUGUCGCGCCAAGUGUAUUUUCUGUCACAAAUAUGCUCUUUUUAAACAGCCUCAAUACGCAAAAGUGAUUCUUUAGCUUAAAUUUCUUUGUAUAUGUCCCUCAGUAAAAAUGCUACAAGAACAUGUUAAAAACACGACGUGCAGUUUAUCUGGUCUUUAACGUGACUGAUUCUUUAAUCUAUGCCAACAACUACAAAACCAAAACAAUAUUUAAAUAAAGAGGUGAGAAUAAAUCUGCUCAUCUCCUGUGUUUUAAGACGAUGCAAAAACACGGCAAAAUCCUAUGUUUAUUUUCAUGGUAUAUGCAACAUCACUAACUGAAAUGUACUCCACUUAAACAAGUCACCUUGAAUUAGCUGAAGAUGCAACCUCCCCACCCCCAAAAAAAAACAAACAAAAAAAAAACACAGUUUGGACCUAAAGCUGAUCAAGAUGUUGGCACAGUUUGAUUUGUAUCACCCCUCACACACACACACUAAAACAUGACAAAAACCAAAACACAGUAAUUAGAUAGAAACCUGCUAAGUUUAUGGAGAAAUGGGCUGUUUUUUCCCCUUCUCUUUAAAAGCAAAAAAAUAAAUAGUAAAAAGCAGAUUGUGUGUUUGUUUUGUCUAAUAUUUACAUGUGAAAAACAUGCAAACACUUAAAUGUUUGCUUUUUAUUUUAAUUCUAGUUUUGAGGAAAAAUGUACUUAAAUUUUCCCUCUUUAUGAUUUUUAUUUUAAAAAACUUUUUAAAUGAAAUUACAUUCUUGUUUAUCUUAAUAAAUCUAAAUAUAUAUAUUUCUUGUUUCUUGAAGUUGGGUUUUUUUUCUAAAUGAGAUUUAAAGUUUUUAAAUUUACAAUUUUUUUUUCUCAAAAAACAAAUUUAAAUAUAAAUUGACAAGAUUUGUAGUAAUACAUAUAAAACAUUAAAACGCAUAAGAAAAGUCAUAAAUUUAGCCUGCAACUUUUAAAGUUGUAAAAAAAACUUCAUUCUCGUAAAUUUACAAGAUUUAAAGUUGUAAUUUUUAAAAAAAAUUAGUUUGUACAAUGGCCCUACUCUGUAUUUUUCUGACUUCAGUUGCAAUUAUGUUAAAAGGAGGGAAAAAAAUACAUUUUGAGAGUCUUAAAGAGAUAAUGCAUCUAACUUGAAUCUUCAAUAGCAGCCUACUGCCUUGAUUAAGGUUCUCCUGCUUUACAAGAAUAAAUAAAUGUGACUGUAAAGAACUGUAGCAUCUCAUGAAAAGCAAAAAAAGAAAAUGCUUCCCCUGUACUUUUUAAAUUUGGUAAACAUAAGUUAUAAAUCAGCUGCUUGGAUGUUUACUGGUCAUUUCACAAUCUUUCAAAAACACAAAAUAGAGUCUGAAUGUGGGUUUUAAAAUGCUUGAGGGGAUCAUGUCAAGCACAUGUCUUUUUAUAAUCACAAAUGAAAACUACCAAAAAAAAAAAAAAAUUGUAUUUCAGAAAUUUGAGAAAUGUGUAAUAAUCAAAAUGUACAAAACAGUUUUUAGUACAGCAACAAGGAGUUUGAAUUCUUUCAUGAGCACAACCUUUGGUUUUGUGAGAACAUGUACCUGUGAGGAAUCAUGCAGAGUAGAACAACUCCUUUUAGUUACACAUACCACUCCUUAGACCAUUACUAAAUAAAAUCAAAGAUCUGAUUCUUCUUAAAUGAGUUUCUCAAAGGAGCAAAUCAUCAAACUACGUGGAGAUGGGAGUCAGAUCGUUCCUGUUUGCAAGCUUUACUUCUGGAUAAUCAUCUGAGCCAGUAAAGCAGCCAGCAAGAAGCAUGUUUGAUAGCUGUUUGUAGUUCCUAAGGAGGAGGAAAUGGUUUCAUCAGUACUUCAUGCACCCAUUUCAAUCAUAAAAUCAACAUUUCUUUGUUUCAAAAACUAUAAUUUGGUCAAGUAUAUUUGAAGAUCCAAACGUAAACUCACCACUGCUCUCAGAUUGGGAGGUUUUCACGUUACAAUUGCCAAAUAUUUUGUGAUGUUUUGUGGAAUUUGGAUGUGCUGGAGAAUCAAAGCAACAAACAAUGAGAAAUAACAGGAGACUUCAACAUAUCAGGGGUGCAACGAUUCAUUUUAAACAAUUGGAUGUGUAUAAAUAUUUGUUGGGAAAAAAAAUCAAUAUUUAUUUUAGAAAAUAUUUGACUUUUUAGAAGUAAAGUUGAUUCAAGUAACAACUUGCCUCAGACAGAUCAAUCCGGUUAGAUUAAAAGAAUAAAAAUUAAUUCAUCAAUUAAGCCGAUUAAUUGUUACACCCCAAAAACACAGAGAAAUGUUGUAGGAAUUAUAGACAGUUACUUACAGAGCACUAGUAAAGUGAGUUUUUGUGACGUCACCACUAGCGGUUGUUGUGGUCCCUCCGGUCCCAGGUCCAGCCUAGCUUCACACCAGUACUCUGUUCCGUUGUCCUUUGACAGGGAAUGAUGCUCUGAGUGAUGCUUCUGUUCGCCGGAGUUUUCUGUCUCGUGUCAUUGAACUUGAUUUGACUCAAAGCUGUCUGCUCUUUAUAAAAAGUCACGACCACUUUUUCAAGAGGUGCAACAUCCUGAACAGUGCACUGGAGAGAAUAACUGCCCCCUUCGAGCAGCGGUCCAGUGUGAUUGACAAAUGUGAUGGAGACUGCUGUUGGGGGUUCUGUGUAAAAACGGAGUGAAAUUAACCACAAGCUGGAUUUACAAUGGAAAGAGGAGGAACAAUUAGGUUUACUGACGGUAGACUGUCAGGGAGAGAGCCAUGUGACAAUGUUCUGCCACAUCAGACGUCGCAUAACAUAUGGCUCAAUGCUCCACUCGGUCAGUCUGUCAACACGCCAGACCAGAAACUCACUGAAAGUGCAUCAGGAGAACCCUGCAGGAUGUAAAGAGAAUUACAAGAUUAUGAAUUUUACAGAUUAUGCAUCGUUUAAAAUGCUCUUUUAAAAGACAUUUAACCCUGUUAGGCACAUUUUUCCCUCCAAAAGAGUUUUUAGGUUUUAUGGGAAAAGUCAUUUUGAAUUGAGCAGGAAA
ensembl:lncRNA